rnacentral:rRNA from 1 species
CGUUCCCGGGCCUUGUACACACCGCCCGUCACACCACGAGAGUUUGUAACACCCGAAGUCGGUGGGGGUAACCUUUUUGGAGCCAGCCGCCUAAGGUGGGACAGAUGAUUGGGGUG